rnacentral:misc_RNA from 1 species
CUUCCCAAGUGGUUAAAGAUUGUUGAUCUUUCUGCAGACUUCCGACUAGGAGAUAUUUCUGAGUAUGAAGAAUGGUAUGGUCAGCCGCACAGAGCACCAGAUUUGCAGGAAGAAGCCAUAUAUGGUUUGACAGAGAUUUUCAGAGAGAAAAUAAAAAAUGCUCGUCUGGUUGCUAAUCCUGGUUGUUAUCCAACAUCACUUCCUCUUGUUCCUUUGAUAAAGGCUAAUCUCAUUGAAUUUAAAAAUAUAAUUAUUGAUUCAAAAUCUGGUGUCAGUGGAGCAGGACGUGGUGCAAAGGUGGCAAAUCUGUAUACUGAAUUAACAGAAGGAAUUAUGUCUUAUGGUGUUACAAGGCAUCGACAUGUUCCAGAGAUUGAACAGGGACUAUCUGAUGCUGCAGGUUCAAAAGUAACUGUCAGUUUCACCCCACACUUGAUGCCAAUGAGCCGUGGUAUGCAGUCAACUAUAUAUGUGGAAAUGGCUCCAGGAGUAACGACUGAGGAUUUGUACCAGCAAUUGAAGCUUUCCUAUGAGGAUGAAGAAUUUGUCAAGUUAUUGGAGAAAGGAGUUGUUCCUCGCACUCAUGAUGUUCGAGGUUCUAAUUAUUGCUACAUGAAUGUCUUUCCUGAUCGAAUUUCUGGUAGAGCAAUAAUUAUAUCAGUUAUUGAUAAUCUUUUGAAGGGAGCUUCUGGCCAAGCUGUACAAAAUCUAAAUAUAAUGAUGGGAUUUCCCGAAAAUACAGGGCUAAGCUACCUACCCUUGUUUCCUUGACAUCUUUUAUUCCUCAUCCCCAGAGCAGUUGUUGCAGGUAUCAUGGAAUNCAUGGAAUGCAACUUUUUCUUUCUGAAAGCUCCACUGUCUUGAAGGUCUGGAAAUAAGUUAACCGCUGAGUGUUACUAGGAACAUGGGCCAACUUCGUAAGAUGAGAUAUGCAAUUAGAUGAUAGAAACUUAUCCACGGGAGAUUAUUUACUUGCCAAAGUUGUAAUGAUUCCUGCUAUUGUCAUGGCCCAAUUUGUGUUUUUUAAUCUUAAUUUCAUUGGGCAAAAAA